GAUGAACGCUGGCGGCGUGCUUAACACAUGCAAGUCGAACGAUGAAGCCCAGCUUGCUGGGUGGAUUAGUGGCGAACGGGUGAGUAACACGUGAGUAACCUGCCCUUAACUCUGGGAUAAGCCUGGGAAACUGGGUCUAAUACCGGAUAGGAGCGUCCACCGCAUGGUGGGUGUUGGAAAGAUUUAUCGGUUUUGGAUGGACUCGCGGCCUAUCAGCUUGUUGGUGAGGUAAUGGCUCACCAAGGCGACGACGGGUAGCCGGCCUGAGAGGGUGACCGGCCACACUGGGACUGAGAAACGGCCCAGACUCCUACGGGAGGCAGCAGUGGGGAAUAUUGCACAAUGGGCGCAAGCCUGAUGCAGCGACGCCGCGUGAGGGAUGACGGCCUUCGGGUUGUAAACCUCUUUCAGUAGGGAAGAAGCGGAAGUGACGGUACCUGCAGAAGAAGCACCGGCUAACUACGUG
rnacentral:rRNA from 1 species